rnacentral:rRNA from 1 species
CCUACGGGGGGCAGCAGUGAGGAAUAUUGGUCAAUGGGCGGAAGCCUGAACCAGCCAAGUAGCGUGCGGGAUGAAGGCCCUACGGGUCGUAAACCGCUUUUGCACGGGGAUAACACCCUCCACUUGUGGAGGUCUGCAGGUACCGUGCGAAUAAGGGCCGGCUAAUCCGGGCCAGCAGCCGCGGGAAUACGGAAGGCCCGGAGCGUAUCCGGUUUCUUUGGGGCUAAAGGGAGGUUAGGCGGGGGCUCAAGGCAGCGGUAAAAUCGGGCGGCUCAACCGCGCCCCGCCGUUGAAACUGGACGCCUUGAGUUCACAACAGGCAGGCGGAAUUCGUGGUGUAGCGGUGAAAUGCAUAGAUAUCACGAGGAACCCCGAUUGCGAAGGCAGCCUGCCGGGGUGCGACUGACGCUGAGGCUCGAAGGUGCGGGUAUCAAACAGGAUUAGAUACCCUUGUAGUC